UGAUAUAUCAAAACUGUGAUAAUUAUAGAGUUUGUGAAGAAAGUAGUAAAAGGAAACGUCCGAUUAAGAUUAGUAGUUUGGUGAGCGAAAGAUUAAGAGAAUACGCAGUGAGGAGUCCGAGAGGGAAGUUGUAAUAAAAAUGUAAAUCUAGUUUUAGUAAAGUUAAGAACUUGUACCUUUUGCAUCAUGGUUUUCUAAGAAAGGGGCUUGAAAUAUAAGUUUUCCCGAAAUGAGGUGAGCUAUUUCUUUACAUAUAAUUGGCGUGGCAAAGCCAAGUGUAGAUAGAGAAAUUGGAGUGAAACGCUUGUCGCACCUUGUGAUAGCUGGUUUACUAGGAGAAGCAUCGAAGUGCUGGUCUAUUGGAAGAUUUUGGUUAGUAAUUAUAUCAAAGUGCGGAAAUAGAAUUUAUGUAGGAGAGGAUUAGCUCUUCUAGUUAUUAAGAAAAUCUUUUUGUUGUUAGUUGUAAAGUGGGCUUAAGAUUAGCCAUCUUAGGGAAGUUUGUUAAAAAAUAAUAAAAUGAAGAACAAUUAAUAUUUAUUUUUUUCUAAUAUUAGAAAAGUACUAGUAGUAGGAGUUAUGUAAUUUUGACUUUUAAAAUACUGGGAAAAUGAGUAUUGUCAUCAUAAUAAUUUGAGGUGUUUUAUUAAAUUAAUGAAAAUAACUGUAGAAGAAUGAAGGUUUGUAGAAAAAUCUAACGAAGGAACUUGGCAAAAAUUGGUCUCGCCUGUUUAUCAAAAACAUGGCUCUUUGCUAGUUAUAAAAAUGAGGAUAGAGAGUCUGACCUGCCCGGUGAUGUAGGAAUUAAACGGCCGCAGUACCCUGACUGUGCAAAGGUAGCAUAAUCAUUUGCCUUUUAAUUGAGGGCUGGAAUGAAAGGUUUGACGUGGACUAAGCUGUCUCCUGAGGAUUAUAUAGAAAUUAAUUUUUAGGUGAAAAAGCCUAAAUUUGGCUAUGGGACGAGAAGACCCCGUUGAGCUUUAACUAAACUUGAGAAUAGGAAAAACAAUAAGAUGUAUUGAACUAAUUUUUAGGGUGUUUUUAGUGGGGGAAAACGGAGGAAUAUUUGGAGCUUCCUCUUUUAAAGUAAAUUAAAUUGCUAAUUUUAGAUUAAUUAGUAUAUUGUAUUUAAAGUAAGGCUGACGUGUAAGUUUAAUUAAAAGGAUCCGCUAAAUUGAUAUAGGCGAUUAAGGGAGAAAGUUACCACGGGGAUAACAGCGUAAUUUCUUCCGGAGAGUUCAUAUUGAAGGAGGGGUUUGCGACCUCGAUGUUGGAUUAAGACAUCCUGGGGGUGUAGCAGCUCCCGAGGGUUGGUCUGUUCGACCAUAAAAGUCUUACAUGAUCUGAGUUCAGACCGGCGUGAGCCAGGUUGGUUUCUAUCUUUAGCACAAAAGUACCCUCGGCUAGUACGAAAGGAUUGCUGAAUAAUUGGGUAAAUUAUUUAUGAUUUGUGAGCUAUAAUAACAGCAGAAUAAGGAAGAUUGAGGA
rnacentral:rRNA from 1 species